AUGAACGCUGGCGGCGUGCCUAAUACAUGCAAGUCGAACGCUUGCUUGAGGACUUGUCUUCAAGCAGGAGUGGCGAACGGGUGAGUAAUACAUAAGCAAUCUGCCCAUCGGCCUGGGAUAACAGUUGGAAACGACUGCUAAUACCGGAUAGGUGAUGAAGAGGCAUCUCUCGAUCAUUAAAGUUGGGAUACAACACGGAUGGAUGAGCUUAUGGCGUAUUAGCUAGUAGGUGAGGUAACGGCCCACCUAGGCGAUGAUACGUAGCCGACCUGAGAGGGUGACCGGCCACAUUGGGACUGAGACACGGCCCAAACUCCUACGGGAGGCAGCAGUAGGGAAUUUUCGGCAAUGGGCGAAAGCCUGACUGAGCGACGCCGCGUGAGUGAAGAAGGCCUUCGGGUUGUAAAGCUCUGUUGUGAAGGAAGAACGGCUCAUACAGGGAAUGGUAUGGGAGUGACGGUACUUUACCAGAAAGCCACGGCUAACUACGUG
rnacentral:rRNA from 1 species